UAACAGUUUUUUCAUGGCGACUUAUGGAGUUUUGCCGGUGUCAGUAUUAGUUUUAUGUUUCCCAUUUCAGUCGUCUCCAGUUCCCGUUCAUAAUUGAAUAACUUCAUUCCUUAGUUAUCAGACCUGGCAACUCAGCAUCCUUGGGUCGUCUAUCCGGAUUCCGGUGCCUUCACUUACUAUCAGUAGAGCCAUCUGCUUGUCACUCUGCUGACUUUCUAUUGCUCGCACAAAAAAGACAACCGCAUUCGAUUGGCAUUAUAAAUUAUAUUGGUCCAUUCAGGAAAUAUAAAAAAGAAUUGAAUAGAUUACAGAUGACAAUUUCCUGUUAUUGCCUUGCCAAUGAAUGUUUCGGAAAAUGUGGUCAAACACAAAUAGCUGGGUGGAUUAUAUUGGACAAUUGAUUUCAAAUAUAAGGAGGCAUAUGUAGUCUUUUGCUUGAGUCCUUUGUUCCGUUGGCAGAUAUCUUCUUUUGAGUAUUGAACAUCACAAAAGGGUCUGCGAAUCUGCGAUACAAAAUUACUAUAGCACUUACUCAAUUUCCGUUGAAGGAAUAUAACAAAUUUCACAAGGAAUGUUUCACUUUGCCAAUUACACCAUAACCACAAUUCUGAACAGAGAAACGUCAAUCGAAACCCACAAUUUUUGUAUUCCUCAUCUCAUUAUUUUGCAGAAGUCAAUCUCUUUAUUCCUCUAGAGUGUAAUGAGUAUAUGUAAGAAAGAAAUCAACAACUGGCAAUCUUUUUUUUUAAUAAAAUUAAUCUGUAAGAUUGCCCUUCGCUUGGGGGACGGCUGCGGCUCUCUCCUGGUCGAGUCCAUUUAAUCCGGAUACAUUGUCGAAAAUAGCACAGCUAAGAAGAUAAUAUUUUACACGCCAAAAUUACCAUCACGUCAUCCACCGUACGGAAUUUCCAUAAUGAGCCAUAAUUUAAUAAAUAAGAUUGGAAAUAAUUUUGAUAGAUUGGAGCUUAUUUGAAGCCCAGUCCGAUUAUUCUAAAAACGGCGAUAAAUAAAGAAAA